UGUAAAGUUCAAGCUCCGAUUAUGAGGGCGAACCGCGAAUGGCUCAUUAAAUCAGUCAUAAUCUACUUGAUUGUUUCAAGUUUAUAUGGAUAACUGUGGUAAUUCUAGAGCUAAUACAUGCACAAAGAGGGCGACUCUUGCAAGAGAGAAGCUCUGCGUUUAUUAGACUAAGACCAAUGGUCGCAGCAAUGCGAUCACAAUUCAAGGUGACUCUGAGUAAAUAAUGGGUGAAAGCCCAUGUUGCUGACCUGGCAUAAAGGGCCUCACGGUCCGCCAGGCAAAUCAAUCGAGUGUCUGCUCUAUCAACUGUGGAUGGUAGGAUAAUUGCCUACCAUGGUGGUGACGGGUAACGGGGAGUUAGGGCUCGACUCCGGAGAACAAGCUGAGAAACGGCUAGUAGGACUAAGGUCUGCAGCAGGCGCGAAACUUACACAAUGCUAGAUUACAAUUAGCGAUGUAGUGAAGAAAAAUAACGAUGUACUUCCAUUUAAACAUGGUAGUACAAUUGGAAUGAGACGACUAUAAAUCAGUUAGUCGAGUAACAAAUGGAGGGCAAGUCUGGUGCCAGCAGCCGCGGUAAUUCCAGCUCCAUUAGCAUACAUUAAAGUUGUUGCGGUUAAAAAGCUCGUAGUUGAAUUUUAGGCGGGCUCUAUUGGGCUGCAGCCGUCAAGGUUACUUCGGUAACUGGCUGUCACUGCCCUAUAGGAACCCGCUGUUUCGUCACUUAAUCGAGUGCGAAGCGGGCUGGCACUUGGUCAACUUCGGUUGCACUAAGCUUCAGCAUGUUUACCUUGAGAAAAUUAGAGUGCUCACAGCAGGCAGUUGGGGUGUAAAAGCUCCUUUAUGCUUGAAUAAUGUUGCAUGGAAUAAUAGAAUACGGCCUCGGUUCUAUUCUGUUGGUCUUAUAGAACAACAAACAAGUUGAUUAAAGCGAUCAAACGUCUAUUCUAAGCGUGGCUCUAAGGGCCGCUAUGUUUGAAUUGGCCGAAUUGUGUUACCUAGGGAUAAAACUUUAGUGUCGCGUUCACCUUUUGAAACUAGCAUCACCCAUUUAGUCAUCAAAGCGCUUUUAAUAUGGCAAGCUUUUUAAUCAACUGAGGCAAUGGUUAAAAGAAAUAGUCGCGGCGGCAUCAGUACUGCAUCGUGAGAGGUGAAAUUCUUAGACCGAUGCAAGACUAACUGAAGCGAAAGCGUUUGCCGAGGAUAUUUUCAUUAAUCAAGAACGAAAGUUAGAGGUUCGAAGGCGAUCAGAUACCGCCCUAGUUCUAACCAUAAACGUUGCCAACUAGCAAUUGGGUUGCGAUUCCUUUAAUCGAAGCUUAAAACACUUCGAUCAUUAUGAUCCACCCAGCGGCUCUCGUAGGGAAACCAAAGUGUUUGGGUUCCGGGGGAAGUAUGAUUGCAAAGUUGAAACUUAAAGGAAUUGACGGAAGGGCACCACCAGGAGUGGAGCCUGCGGCUUAAUUUGACUCAACACGGGGAAACUUACUAGAUUAGAACUCUGGAAUGAUUGACAGAUUGAUAGCUCUUUCUUGAUUCAGAGGAUGGUGGUGCAUGGCCGUUCUUGAUUCGUAUUCCGAAACGUCUGCUUAAUUGCGAUAACGAGUGAGACCUCACCCAACUAACUAGUCGUUUGGUGCGCUGUGGAACGCAAAAGUCUUGGUAGGGUUCGGUUGACCGGGCGUGAGUUCGCUCAAAGCCAGUUAGCUUCCUGCUUUAGAUGUUCUCUGCUCGCCAGCGGACUUCUUAGAGGGAUAAACGGUGUUUUAGCCGUAAGAAACGAG
rnacentral:rRNA from 1 species